rnacentral:misc_RNA from 1 species
AGAAGUUCUACUUCUACUCAGGCAUUGCACACUAAGCCAGAGAUGAUUGUGGUGGAGGAAAGGGUGGAUAUUGAAAAGGGAGGCAAUUCAGGUUAUCCGAUCCUCUUUCUUAUCGUUCUUGCUGGACUCGUCGGGGGUCGAGUGCUAGCCCUUGUUAUUACAGUUGCAUCAUGUUCCAUGCUAAAGUUGGUCUGGAGACGUAGGAAAUGCGAAAAAUAAGCCUGCAAAUGUUUCCCCUGCAUCAGAAUCAAGCUAGGAUUUGUUCAGAGAGGAUAUUUCUUUCUUCUUUUUUGAGUGUUGUUGUGGUAUUUGCUACUGCAUACGGGACGGUUGUUCUCCAUGCGGUAAUUGUAUGGAAUUCCAAUCGUCUUGUUGGCAUUCCAAACCUGAAGGGUUAUAUCCUGAAAUGUAAAUUUUACACAUAUUCACAAAUUAUAAGUACUUCGCU